CCUUUGUGGUGAAAUGGUAUACACGUCUGAUUCAAAAUCCGAUGCUCUAAGCUUGCCGGUUCGAAUCCGGUCAAAGGUA
rnacentral:tRNA from 1 species